GGCGCGGGAGCGCGCGGGCCGCGGGUGCGCGCGCAGGCCGGUCCCCUCCGGGCACGCACCGUCCCUUAUAGGCACGCGAGCCCCCACAGCCGCGGACAUGUCGGUGUCCCCCGUGAAGCGGCAGAAGAUGGAGUCGGCGCUGGACCAGCUCAAGCACCACACCACGGUGGUGGCCGACACCGGGGAUUUCAACGGAUGCAAAAAGUGAGAGGCAACUUGAGGACAUGUGCUCAGUCUGACAGAAAUAAUGUUGAAAAAAUUCAGCCUGCUGAAUACUGCAGAGACAGUACAAUUCCAAAUGGGUUGUAUGAUCCUGACAAUUCCAAGUAUACUUAAUGGAUAAGCCUCAAAAGGUUACAGGAAAACACCCAGGAGCACAUCCAGGAAAACAUCUUGGAAUUAAUGGAUAAAAUCAUGGUGUAUUUUCCUUGUACAGCACUGCAUGUGCUUGAUUUUAGGAUGUCUAAAACUGUUACAUUCCUGAAAACAGGCAGGUGUGGGCUAAUUUAUAGGCAGAAUUUGUGAUAUAAAAAUAUUUGUGGUUAUAUGUAUAUAUAGGGUAGAUAUUUAUGAGUUAGAUACUCUGUAAUACAUAUUUAUAUAUUUUUAAUAGGUGUGUAUAAAUAUGUAUAUUUUAUAUAUUUUUUUAUAUGUGCACAUAAAUAUUUUUCAUCACACACUCUACCUGUCUGGGGGCCUUGCUGGUGAGCUCCCAACUCGUUCCUGAGGAAAACUUCAGGCACAAGUUACUUGGUUUAAUUGUUUUCUCUUUUUCUUAAUUAUUUUACUCGGCUGGAAUAACUAAUAAAGUCAGCUGUACAUGUCUA